ACCCCCCAGGGCUCGCUAAAGAGGGCCACGAGCUGCGAAAGGGCGGGAAAGGCAGUUGGAGAAGGAGAGGUAAGCGGUUACUCACUCCAUGGCUGCAGCAAGGAGAGGCGGCGGCGGCCUCGGCUGAAGAAAGAAGGUGGGAGCGGAGAGCGCAGGCGUGAAACCCACCUUGUCCCAUCCACAUCAGGACAUCCCAGCUGGAGUUCAACCUUCAUCCCUUCUGUGGCAGUUAGGAGACUGAAUCAAGGUCCAGAGAAGGUGGAGGAAUCCUGAUAUUGAGCGGCCUUUCCUCCUGCGUGGACGGCGCCUCUCCCCCGCCAUCCUUUCCCUGGCUGAUGCUGCAUCUGCAACACUCAGCUUCUCCCUGGAACCUGCUCCCACAGCAUGUGGCCCAGCCCUGCGCCUGCCCUGAGCCCUGGUUGUAGAGCUGACAUUUGACUCUGGCUGCCUUGAGGGCAGGGGCCGUGGCUUAACCAGCCACUCUGGGCUUCACUUUCCUCAUUUGUCAAGUGGAUCUGCCCCAAAGUUUGCUUUGAGGAAACGGGCCUCCCUCUUUCCAUUUCCAGCUUUUAGAGCUGCUUCUGCCUUCCU
rnacentral:sRNA from 1 species